AUUGGGCCGGCCCAUUUGAGACGUGUCUCACUGUCUCUUAUAAAGACGAUCUCAAAUAAAAAUUAAGUUUUAAAGAAUAAAUAAUAAUGGCAUACUCGUCCUUUUUUUCUCUUAGAAACGAGUCGAGUAUAAAACUUGGCUGUACUCCAUCACUAUUCUCCAUUUCUACCGCUUCACUAUCGCCAUCAAGUUUCACAAAUUCAAGAAUUAAUCACUUCUCCUUCGAAUUUGAACGGUUUUCGGUAGAAGAGACUCGUAAUCUGCUUCGGCUAUGUCGGUUCCAACUAAAGAGUGUUUCGCUGUUGUGUGUGUGUAAGUUUGCAAGUUUGCAGUUUUUGCGGUUUGAGAAACUACGGGAGGAUAACAUUUGCGGAAAGUAUUCAUUGUGCUAUCAAUCAGGAACCUUUUCUACCUGACAAUCUUGCUACAGCUCCUUAGAAUGAAUCCAUCAUUUUCGGCAUUCGAUGCGCAUGAGUCUGCUACAGAAACAAAGUGACAUUGAAGGACCUUAACCAUUCCAUCAGAAUUUGCAAAGUUGCAAGACAACAGACUCUCCUUAUUGAAUGGAGAUUCUCCAAAUGCUUAUCUUUCCUAGAUCCAGCCAUACACAUACACAGCCACAACCAAAAUUUAUGAAUCAAAGAAAAGAACCUUCUAGUCAUGGGGGCGGUGGUGUUUGGUUUGUGAAAAGACGUUUUCCCAGGAUGCUUAGACGGCACAAGAUUACUCAAAACCAUGCACACAGUGUAGAGAGGACCCACAAUUAAUGGAGAUCUAAUUCUUGGCUUAACUUUGCUGAUUAAAGCUACAAACAAAAUCACAAAACCAUUGUAAUAAAUAUCAAAUCAAAAUAGAUAAUUCUGGUUUCUCGGAUUUGUCAAUGGUAUUAAUUAUUGUGAUGUAACAAUGUGAACAUCAUUUUUUUUCCUUCACUAAAUGAUGAGAAGCAACUAUAAUUGUCAAGCUAGGACUCAAUCAGGUGUUCACUGCUGCAUUAAUUAUGUGGCUAACAAUGAUCCUAAUUGCUCCCUCCGUUAUAAAAGUUUUUAUUUGCCAUUUUUUUGUGCUUCAAUUGUUAUUCUCAUAAACAA